GUUUGAUCAUGGCUCAGAUUGAACGCUGGCGGCAGGCUUAACACAUGCAAGUCGAGCGGAAACGAUGAUAGCUUGCUAUCAGGCGUCGAGCGGCGGACGGGUGAGUAAUACUUAGGAAUCUACCUAGUAGUGGGGGAUAGCACGGGGAAACUCGUAUUAAUACCGCAUACGUCCUACGGGAGAAAGGGGGCAACUUGUUGCUCUCGCUAUUAGAUGAGCCUAAGUCGGAUUAGCUAGAUGGUGGGGUAAAGGCCUACCAUGGCGACGAUCUGUAGCUGGUCUGAGAGGAUGAUCAGCCACACCGGGACUGAGACACGGCCCGGACUCCUACGGGAGGCAGCAGUG
rnacentral:rRNA from 1 species